GAAUAAUAUCAUCCCAUGUCACAAAUAAUGACUACUAAAAAACAAAGAGAAUUGGACAAUUUCCUCCCUAGACACUAAUUUAAUGAAAUGCAAUUGUUGUUUUCUAUUCAGCUCUGGGUCAUCUUUCAUAAUUCUAGUGUUAACACUAGGCCAUUGUUCAGAUGCUUUAUCCAGUAGUCCCUUAUAGAAGCCAAGUAUCUCUUUUUCAAUUGCUUUCUGAGAAAAAACAGUGAUAUCAUCUGCAGCAGUGAAGCUCAAAGUAGUGCUUAGCAGAAUUAUAUUCUUCAUAUGAGCAAAAAAAGGAAGUGUUUCCAUCCCAAAGCUUUAACCAUUUUACCCUUGAUUAUUGUUGUAUUGCACCCUCUUCAACGAGACUACUUCACUUCUCUAAUUGAGCUUUGAGUUCUCUUUCUAAAACACAAUGAUUAUGAACUUGGUCAAAAUCUCUCUGUGUAUCCUAGACAUCUUGCAAAUUCAUUGUAAGAUCUUGCACUUUAUCCGUUACACCUUUGAAUUCUCUAAUGUUGAGCUACUUCAUUUCAACCUUCACCUUGCUAGACUGUCUUCAUAAUACCAUUUUAUCUUGUACUAAACCAUCCAUUUUUGACUCUGUGCAAGAAAUCAGGGUGUGAAGCUAAGCGAUUGAAGAACUUGAAAGACUUGUGAUAAGAAGCAGGAUCCAUCACUAACCUCCACCCGGGGCAUAGUCAGCAUCCAAGCUGCAUUUGUUAUUGCCUUAUCCAUCUUGCUAUAGACCUAUUCAUUGGACCAGGUAUAAUCUCUGCCUUUUGAUUUAACUUCAUCCAUACCAGUGUUUGCUGGACCAGAUAUAUCUUGUAACAGAUUACCAUAUCUUCUAUCCUCUCCUGUUAAGAUAGAAUUGAAAUCUCCCUACAUUAUUAUAGGCUCCAAUUGGUUCAUAGCUAUAAUGGUUAUGAAGGCUCCCCACAUAAUCUUUUUGUUUUAAAUAGUAUAAAGGCCGUAGAUAGCAGCGAAAAGAAAAUCUAAAUUAUUCCCCCUCAUGUUAAUAUUACACUUUAUAAAUUGAGCAGACUUGAUCAGUAUAGUACAUGUAAGAACUUGAGGAUCCUAUAAUACCCAUAUUUUUCUCUUGUGAGAGCAUUCAUGGUUUGCUUCCAAAAGCCACCCUAAAAUUAUUUUAUUUUUAUUUAUCACUCUUCUUGCAUAACUCUAUCACUCUUCUUGCAAAAGUCACUUUUCUUGCAUAAGGUUCCUUAGCUUUUUGUUCUAAAGCUUCCAUAAGACUUAACUUUAUUUACUUUGGUAAACAAGCUCAACUCCUUUUUCUUAUGGAGAUUAUUCAACCCCCACACCCAAAAUCACAUCUCAUGUGAUGAGCCUCAUAAAGAAAGGGUUGGAUGGUUCACCCUUGACUGCUAAGGCGUGUCAUACACAUAUGAGGUUCAAUACGCCUAGCUACAUCAAUCAAUAUAUGAAAACCAUUUUCAAUAUUCAUAUCAACUUCCUUAUGACCAGGGAUGGGGUGUUUCUAACAGCUACUUCCCUUUAACUUGAGUCCAAGGUGCUUCCUCCCCGAACUUCACAUUUGUGCCCACUAUAGACGAGGAUUUAGAGCCUUAGGAUUUUCAUCUCCGUGCUUCUACCACCACUUUGGAAUUAGCUUCACAGGAGGUUUAGGCUUAGGAAUCUCCUUUGUUUUGCAACAAUGCCCAGCUUGGAGACAAGUAGUGCAAAAUUCAGGGACCCAGUCAUAAGCUACUUUCUGUUCAAACUCUUGCCAAUUAGGAUUCAUGACUUGACUUUUUUCAAAAAAUCCUUAUCAACUUCGUCUCAGUAAGUACUUGAGCAAAUGAUAUACGAUCAACCUUAGUGGUGCACUCAUCAGCAUAUAGUGGAACCCCCAGUUCACUCCAAUUUGGCUAAGAGAAUCCAUACUCCAACAAUUACGUGGAAGCUUGGUGAAUUUAAUCCAUACGUCCUUAUUGAAAUCAAACAUGGCUGGCCACAUCUUGACAAUUAUAGGAUUAUUAUUCAUCAUAUGUGGUCCUGAGCAGAGCAGUUUAUUUCAAUUAGUCAAACUUUUGAAUCGAGCUACAAAGUAACCAUCGUUAUGGUAGCAUACCUUAGGUGUAAGAUAAGAUACUAAAAAAGUGUAUAUAUUAUUCAUGGAAUUGUACAGUACUUAUAAGAGAAAAGUAAGAUCAUAAUGAACUAAUCAAUCCCUGAUUCUUGGGAGAUUCUUGAAUCAAGGGAUUUCCCCUAAUCUAUUUUCUAAAAUAAAAAAUAAUAUAUUUUCCUAAGAUACAUGCUAUCCCAUAUUUACAGAAGCUGAUUACAGUCAAUCUGUUAGCUGAUUUGUGGAGCAGAUUCUGCCUCAAUCUGCUAGCUCAUUCGACACUCCCCCUCAAGUUCGCAUGUAAAUAUCGAACAUGCCUAACUUGCUAACAAAUGACUCAAGGUAGUUUUGAAGAAGCCUUUUGUGAAAAUAUCUACUACUUGUUCAGUUGUUGGAAUGAAAGGUAUGCACACACUUCCAUUUUCAAUCUUUUCUUUAAUGAAGUGUCUGGCCACUUCAACAUACUUUGUUCUGUCAUGUUGAACUGGAUUAUGAGCAAUGCUUAUGGAAACUUUAUUGUCACAGUACAACUUCAUUGACAAACUCAUAGGUCUUUUUAGUUCUGUUAAAAAUCUCUUGAGCCACAACAUUUCAUAAAUUCCAUGUGCCAUGGAUCGAUACUCAGUCUCAGCACUACUUCGAGCCACCACGUUUUUCUUCUUACUCCUCCAUGUUACUAAAUUUCCCCCAAAAAUGGUACAGUAUCCGGAUGUAGACCUUCUAUCAAUAGAAGAACCAACCCAGUCCGCAUCUAUAUAAGCUUCAACACUUAUUUGCUCAUUCUUUUUAAAGAACAACCCUUUUCCAGGAGAGCUCUUUAGAUACCUUAAGAUUUGAUACACAGCUUCUUGGUGUUCUUCUCGUGGAUAAUGUAUGAACUAACUAACUAGGCUCACAGGAAAGGCAAUAUCAGGCCUAGUAUGUGACAUGUAAAUCAACUUCCCUACCAAUCUAUGCUAUUGGCCCCUAUCAAUUGAUUUCCCAUUUAUAGUAAACUUUAGAUUCGGGUCAAUUGGAGUUUCAGCUGGUCUACAACUACUCAUUCCCAUUUCUUUUAACAAAUCAAGAAUAUACUUCUUUUGUGAAACUAUAAUUCCUUGUUUCGAUCGUGCAACCUCCAUGCCGAGAAAAUACUUCAACAGACCUAAGUCUUUUAUCUCAAAUUCGGAGGCAAGACACUCUUUUGUGUUUUUAAUUUCAACCACAUCAUCUCCUGUGAGGAUGAUAUCAUCAACAUACACUAUAAGAACUACUAUUUUUUUUCUAGUGAAUACCGAGUGAACAUUGUGUGAUCUGCUUGUCCUUGCACAUAUCCAUGUCUUUUCAUAAAUUAAGUAAACCUUUCAAACCAAACCCUCGGAGACUAUUUUAGACCGUAAAGAGAUCUUCUAAGUCUGCAUAUAUUUGACUUGUACUUCUAUUCAAAACUUGGUGGGGUAUUAAUAGAGACUUUUUCCUCUAGUUGCCCAUUCAAGAAAGCAUUCUUCACAUCCAAUUGUUGAAGAGACUAGUCAAGGUUUACUGCGACUGUCGACAGAACUCUAAUUGAGUUUAUCUUAGGUACUGGAGCAAACAUCUCAAGAUAGUCAAUGCCAUAUGUCUGUGUGAACCCCUUAGCUACUAGGCGGGCGUUAUACUUCUCCAAGGAUCCGUCUGACUUGAAUUUGGUGGUGAACACCCAUUUUUAUCCUACUGGUUUCUUUCCCUCAGGAAAAUAUACCAACUCCCAUGUAUCAUUUUUUUCAAGAGCUCGCAAUUUCUCUAAAAUAGCCCCUUUCCACUCGAGAACUCGUAGAGCAUCCUGCAUAUUUUUUGGGAUCUCCACACUAGAAAUUUGUGAAGUAAAGGCAGAAUAACUAGGAGACAAAUUUUUAUAGGAAACAAACAUAGAAAUAGGAUAUUUAGAAACAUUUCUAACACAUUUGCAUUUUGUAAUAGGUAGGUCCAAAUCUGACAAGGAAUUAGAAAUAGAAUCAGUUGAAAGAUUACCUUAAAUUCCAGGAAGGUCUUACGGAGGUGACUUUUGACAAUGUUGAGGAUCGUUGGUCUCUUUUUCUUAAGUUUUGGUUCCUUCUCGAAUACACCUGUAUUUGUUUUGCUUGUUCUCUGUUCCCAUUUUUAUUUUUGUCAUUUGAAGGCUCUACAGGUUCAAUAUCAAAGUUUUUAUCAUUUAAGUCACUUAAGUCCCUAUCAUCUCUCGAAUCACUUUUCUUUUUAUAUCUUGCAUCACACUUAUUCAUAUCUUCUCCAAGAUCCCUUACAUCAGUAUUUAUUGUAAAAUCUAGCCCAUCAUUUGCCUAAUAUCUAGUUUCUUCAAUAUUCCCAAAAGAUGAAUCUUCACCUACGUAGUAUUCCCCCUGAAGAUGAGCAGUAAAAUAGAGUUGGGAUUCAAAAAAAGUUACAUCCAUUGUGACAAUUAUCCUUCUAGACCGAGGAUCAUAACACUUAUAUCCCUUUUGAUUUGAAGCAUAUCCUAAAAAAGCACACUUUUUAGCCCUUGGUUCAACUUUACUGCAAUUAUGAACAUGAACAAAGGUUUUACACCCAAAAACUUUCAAUAGCAAAUUUGUAAUUAACCUAUAACUAGGAAAACUCUCUUUGAAAAUGUUAAAAGGUGUUUUAAAUUUGAGAGGAUGAGAUGACAUUCUAUUAAUAAAAUAAGUAGCAGCCAAGAGAGCCUCUCCCUAAAGGUACUGUGGAACCUUACUGGUAAACAUUAAGGCCCUAGUUACUUGUAACAGGUGACUAUUCUUUCUUUAUGUUAUGCCAUUUUGUUGAGGUGUAUUCGGACAAGAGCUUUGGCGUGCUAUCCCAGUUUUUCUGAAAAAACUUCCUAAUUGUUCAUUAAAAAUUUCCGACCCAUUGUCACUUCGAAAAAUCUUUAUUUUCUCAUUAAACUGUGUUUCCACCAUUACAUAGAAAGUCUCAAACACUUUUUUAACCCCAGAUUUGUCCUUCAAUAAAAAAAACAACUCAGUCUAGUAUGAUCAUCUAUAAAAGUUACAAACCACCAUUUUUCGGACAUUGUUGAAAUUCUAGACAGUCCCCAAACAUCACUAUGAAUUAUCAUAAAUGGUUGAGAAACCUGAUACUUUUAAAAGGGAAAAAACGAUCGGUGAUGCUUAGUCAAUUCAUAAAAUUCACACUAGAAUAAGGACAAAUUUUAAUUUCAAAUAACUGAGGUAAUAAAUGUCUUAAAUAAUAAAAACUUGGAUGUCCAGGCCUAUAGUGCCAAAGCAUGACUUUAUUUAAAAUAGAAGUAGCGUUCAAACAAGUUGGAUUCAGUUGUAGAGAGUUGUCCCCGUUGUCAUGAAAAUAAAGACCUCCAUAUUCUUUACCACUGUCAAUCGUCUUCCCCGAGACCUUUUUCUGAAGUUCACACAAACCAGAGUAAAAAAGUAGCACGAUAAUUAAGAGAGCGGGUUAAUUUACUGAAAAAAACCAAAUUAGAAGACAGUUUGGGAACAUGAAAAAUAUCAUGAAGUGUGAGGGAUGGUGAUAGCUUAGCAGUUCUUUUUUCAGCGAUUGCAGAGAAGGAACCAUCAGCUAUCUUGAUUUUAUUAUUGCCUGCACAUGGAGUAUAAGUAGAGAAAGCACGUGAACUUUCAGUCAUGUGAUCAGUAGCUCCUGAAUCUAUGAUUUAAGAAUAAUUUUGGUUGGAGUUGGCACUAAGAAAAAUAGAUGGUACGAUACCUGUUUCAGCAAAAGAACAAGAAGGAUUAGAGGGAUUUGGUGCAUUUGCACAGAACUGGGAAGAUUAAAGGAUUUUGUGCAGAAACUCUAGUUGUUCCCUUGUAAAUAGAGACGAAUCUGGAGGAGGUUGCUGCUCCUGCUCAAAAUGAGUUAUUUGGAGGGCUUGACCAUAUUGAUAUUGGAAGCCAUGAUUAUCAACUCCCUUCUGCUUCCAGUUCGGUGGUUCUUAUGAAUCUUCCAAUAUGUUUCACGAGUAUGCCAGUGUCUUUUACAAUGAUCGCACCAUGGCCUUUUCUUUCUGUUAUAUUAAUUUUUCACUGUUACAAGAGUUGGAGAGUCUAUAACAGUUUUUAGUUCAACAUUUAAAUCAAGUUUUAACAUAACUUUCCUCCUAGUUUCUUCUCUCCUAACUUCAGAAAAGGUUUCACGAAGUGAGGGAAGAGGAUUUUUUUCCCUAGGAUUCGUGACCUAACCUCAUCAAACUCCCGAUUUAAUCCUGCUAAAAAGGUAAACUCUCUCAUUUUCUUCCCUUUUUUUACUUUUACACUAUCCAUAGAACACUCUCAUUCAUCAUUAUAACACUGGUCUAACUCCCGCCACAAAGACACCAUUUUUUUUUAUAAUAAGCAGUGACUUCUUUGUCACCCUACUUAUCCUGUCAUAGUUUAAUUUUCAGGUCAAAUAUUUGAUAAGCAUUUUCUACAUCAGAAUAUGUCUCCCUAACGGCUUCCCACACAUCCUUAGCAGUAGGUAAAAAAAGAUAAGGUUUACCUAUGGGUGGUUCCAUGGAAUUUAAUAACCACACAAUCAAGAAUGAAUUCUCUGAUCUCCAAGUGGUCAUCUUUGGGUGUUUGACUUUCGGCUUUUUCGUCUCUCCGGUCAGAUGUCCCAACUUUCCACAACCAUCAAUUGAAAGCUUUACGAACUGUGCCAAUUUCAGGUAGUUCUUCCCGUUUAAUCGAUGAGAAGUUAACUAGAAGGACACGUGAGAAACAUUGCCUCCUUGAGUCAUCAUAUUUUCUGUAGGAACUUCUAGAGAAGAACUUUUAUCUUUUUUUUGAUGUUCCAGAAAGAUGAUCUCCUUAGAAAGCUUGUUUUUCCAUGUGAUACUAGGGGAAAACAACCCGCUCUGAUACCAUGUAAGAUAAGAUACUACAAAUGUGUAUAUAUUAUUCAUAGAAUUGUACAGUAUUUAUAAGAGAAAAGUAAGAUCAUAAUGAACUAAUCAAUCCCUGAUUUUUGGGAGAUUCUUGAAUCAAGAGAUUUUUUCUAAUCUAUUUCCUAAAAUAAAAAAUAAUAUAUUUUCCUAAGAUACAUGCUAUCCCAUAUGUACAGGAGUUGAUUACAGUCAAUCUGUUAGCUAAUUUGUGGAGCAGAGCUCAUUUGACAUUAGGCUUGACGUACAGAGCAAUAUAUCUGACUAUUGCUUUUAUGGUGGGCUAUUCGCCCUACCACAUAGAUUAGAGCAUGUUUUCAUUCCUCCAUUGUCUUCUCCACUUUAAUUUUACUCAAUUCAACCACCUUUUUCCCAUUCUUCAUUAUUGGAGCCACAUUGCUUUAAUUCAUACCCCUAAUUGACAAUCGAUUCCAUCAAACAAGUUUCCCUAUUUGGGUUUUAUGGUAAGGUCAACCAACAUAUCAAGCUUACAUUGUGCUAGUAACCCCAUGGCUUGGGUAGGUGGGUUACUAUAUUACUUGUGAUUGGAACUAUAGAUCCCUUAACCAUGCUUCCCUGAGCGUCGUCAUUCCUCCUACACUAGUGGUCUUUGGAGUGACAAUCCCCUCCUCAGGCAUGGCCGGCCACUGUUCCAUAUUUUAUUUUAUUUCAUGCACGAUCUUCAUUGCUUUUUGGUACGUAGUUUUUCCUUGGUGUUGAAUCUUCUUCACCAUCCUACUGAUGGUGGUCCCUAGCGGCUUACCUCUAGCCAUUUCGGCCAAAUGUGCACAGAAUUGCAGGUCACCUUGUCGAGUAAUACACUUGUUUUUAUUAAAGCUGAAUUAUUUAAUUAGUCUGAAUUGACUUGCACCAUCAGAAUAAAACUUAAUGAAAUAUUAUUAAGAAGUUAGUGAAGGAGUAUGUUUUUGAUCAUAAGAGGAUGUCUCUAACAGAUGACCAUUGGAUAUUAAAAAUAAAUAAUAAAAAAUCAUUUAUCUUUGUAAAGGCAAUGGAGAGGGGUAGUGGAAGAUUUAAAUGGUACGUGGUAGGAAAAAACAUAUUUUUUAAGGAAUUUCAAUGGAGCAAGUCGAGCAUGACCGGGCAACGUCCAAGUUAAUAGCUGGGUCGGGUAAAAAAAUAAGUAACCUCCUUACGAGGAGAAGACGAUGAUCUAAUAUAUUUCAUAAUUUAACUUUUAAAUUUUGAUGUAAUGUAAAUCCCUAUCAGACCAUUUUAAACUUUUCUGUUCCAUUAAUAUGCUUACAACAGUAAAGGAUAAAUAUAAUUUUUUUGAGUAUUCUUCUAGCGAGUAUUAAAAAAAUAAAAAACACAACCUUUUCUAUCUAGUGAUUUCAAUCAAACUAACCCUUCAUACUCAACACAAAUUAACUAGCAGUUACUGUAAACUAAAAAACAUAUUAGAAAUAAAAACAAAAGAGAAAAGAUUGGGAGAAACCACAUAAGGGAGCAGCGCAAACCUCGGAUCGGGGCAGAGAUAGUGUUCUAAAGGUUUCCUAAACGGGACAGGGUAGGGGGUAGGUAAAAUUUUAGCAGAUCAAAGCUUGCCUAUCCUGCUGCAUUUACAUCCUUUAGGUCAACGAAAAUAAAGAGGAUCCCUCCCUGACCUCUGAUGAUCAUUCAAAACAAUUGUGCUAUAUGUAUAUUACAAUUGUGAGCAUCGUACAAUUAACGAAAAAAGGACCAAAAUUGUCCCUUAUAUUUGCCAUAAGACUUAAAAUGAUCCUCAUCCUUUCAUAGGGAACACUACUAGUCCUUCUUUGUAAAUAUGGUGCUCUUUUAAUCUUUUUCUAACGUCCGUCUCUUAUCUUAACAAAAGAGUUGUCUGCAUAGUUAUACGAGCACAACACCAUAUUUAGGCGUAGCUUGAUCUAAAUCAUGUUAUACUAUCUAAUUAAUAACCAUUUUAUGUGCACUUUAAUUUGUUAGCUUUUUUAUAUUCUUCUGAACAAUUUUGUCUGCAAGUACAUGGGUUUCUAAUAUUGUCUUAGCUGGAGGAGUGGAUUCACAGUACUAGCAGAAGUAGGGGUGGAUGUUUCAUUCGAUUUUGAAUGUUAUUGGUUCGGCUAAUCAUUUUGUAGAUAUGCUAAAUCAUAUAGAAAGUUAAGAUAUCGAUUAUUAAUUUGUUCAUUAUCGUUUUACCAUUACAUUUUUUUUAAAAAUAAAUAUUGGAACCUAAUCAAGCUAACUAACACCUGCUACUUAAUAUGCAACAUACAAAAUUCUACUUUUUAUAAGCAUAAAUAUUUGUAGCAUCAUAUCCAAGUUAAAUAUGCAUAUACAGAAGUCCUAAAGAAAAGAUUAUGGGAAACCUAAAUCUCUAUUAUCAACAAUUCAACAUGCAAGUAAUGAUAUAACAAAGCAAAACUUGUAGAUUGUCCAGAAUUCCAGAAUCACAGUUCAAGUAAGAAAACAAGAGCCUUUUAUUAUCUAUUAAGGGUAAAAUUAUAAUUUAAUAAUUAUAUUGGGCUUUCAACAACUAGUUAAGAAGAAGGAAAAACAACAUAAAUUCUGAUAGUUUGGAGUUUAAUUAUAAAAAAUUAUGACAUUUUACAUAAUUAUUGAAAUUCCGAUUUUGAGUCUUGAGAUACAUAAUUAGCUCCCGAUACAUCUAACAAAGAUACAUUUUUUCCUUAUACAUAAUUAUCUUUCGAUAUGUUUUUUUCGAUUUUGGGUCAGUCGUGAUACAUAAUUUUCUCCCAAUACAUCAAACGAAGAUAUAUAAAUAGUUGAGAUUUUUGUAAUUACUUUGUAAGGAUGGGGAUUUGUGUAAAUAUGAUAAGUUAAUGUAUAUAUUUAUUUUAUUUUUCGUAAGAAAAAUCAUAAAUCAUUAUAGAAUAAAUAAUCCCCCAAAAAAGAAAAUCUAAAUCGUGACUGAAUGGUAUAUUCUUUGAGCAGAGGUAUUUUGGAAAAAGUCUUUUAACCUGACAAAAAUCCAAGAUAGAAGUAAAAUUUACAUACACUCUAUCCUCUCCUAACCCCAUUUAUCGUAUAUUUUGUUUUUGUUGGUAUGAUCUGCUGCUCUUAGUUUUGUUGGAUAUUUUGCAUGUGAGCAGCGUCCGUUAGUGGGGAAGAAUUGGCAUUGUGGCCACUUUCUUAACUUAUUUUGCCAAAUACUCAUUAAAUUUAUUUCAUUAAAUUUUUAGAGUUAGGGUCCAAAAAAUAGAAAAAAAUGGGGUCCACACGUGGGCCAAGAGGCCUUUUCAUAAUUUUUAAAACUUUGAGAAUUUAAUAAAUUACACCUAACACCCUCCACUUCUUUCAAUAUUAAACACAAUUCCUCUCUCUCCUCUUCAACUUUUCAAACUCCCGUUACUUCUAAAAAAAUUCUCUCAAAUGCCAUUUUUUCUUUUCCUUCUUCUCCAGCGACAAAGGCUCAUUUUUGUGUCUUAAGGUAAAUUAAAAUCAAGUUUCGAUUAUUUGUAGAUUCAUUUUAGCAAUUUUUAUUGUUAUUCAUUUUGUAGGGAUGUAGUAUAGGAAUCUUUUUUCAAAUGUGGUUGAUUAAAUAGUUAAAAUAUGAGAAUUUUAUAGGUAAUUAAUUAGUUUGAUCCGAAAUAAUAGUUGAGUUUUGAUUGCACAGUUUCGACAGAAUUUUUUGUCGAUCACAGUGUUGAAUUUUAAAUUUUUUGUUAAGAAGUUUUGCUUUAGUUGCGGAAUUUUUUGAGCACGACAGUUUUGAAUGGUGGAAUCAUUCUUAAUUUCUUAUUUAUUUUGGCUAUUUGAGAAUUGACCUAUUUUUGUUUGUAGAGUUAUGGUCUAUGAAUUAACAAUGCCCUAGAUUGAAAUUAAUUUUUAGGUGUAUGAAAUUCUUUUAAAAUAUGAUUGAUUAAAUAAUGAAAAUUGAAAAAUUUAUAGCUAAUUAGUUUUAUUUGUAGCAAUAGUUGAAUUUUGAUACUGCAUAUUUGACUGAAAUUUUUUCAUUCAUCACGCUGUUGGAUUUUGGUUCAGUUCUGAUAUUUUUUGUGUAGUGAACUAUUUAAUGGUGAGAUAAUUUUUAGUUAUUUUGGCUUUUUCAGUUGAGUAUUGAAUUAUUUCUUUUAGUAGACUUGUGCUCUAUGAAUUGAUAAUAGUAGAAUUAUUUUUAGGUGUAGAUUCUGUUAAAAAAUGGGUAAAGCUAGAGUUGGUGUUAAAUGCACAGUUGAUAUAGCGUCUGGUUCUGCUUCUAGCAGUAGAAAAAAAAAGAAAUAAGGCAGUUGAAAAUCCUCUAAAAGGAAGAAAACUGAAGUGGAAGAGUCGAAAUCAUAUUAGAAAAUCAUAAAGAAGAUAAAUGAAUAUGCCGAUGAAUCUAGUGAUGAUGUUGCUGAAUGUAGUGGUAGUGAUGAUAGUGAAGGGAGUGAGGGUAGUAAAAAAAUAGUGUUGAUGGAGAUAAUGAUCCCUUGUUCGUGUCAUUUUGUACAAGGUACAUUUUCGUGAAGUGGUAUGAUUUUAAAUUUUUAUGGACGAGGUUGGAUCUUUCUCGGCGAAGAUAUUGGUUAGAUCAAGGAUGACUGCAUACCAAGAAUUUUAGCAAAUUUUUGUUGACCAAGAUUUGAAGAAAAGAUUCAAGCAGUCCUAUUUUGGACACUUGAGAAACAUGCCGCAACAUCUUAAAUUCAAUGGACAGAUGGUCCAUUAUUUGUUGUUGUGACGUAUUAAGAAUGAUAAAAUACGUCAUGAAAUGUUAUUAUGUGUGAACAAUAAGUCUGCUUAUUUUGGAUAAAAGGAGUUUUGUUUGAUCAUGGGGUUGAACUGCUCAUUAUACUCCAGUGAAUCAAAAUUGAAGAACAUGCUAGAGAAGGGAGAACAUUUUUUCUUUAAGGUGUCGAAAAAUAAAAAUAUUACAUCAGCCAACUUAUUACAGUUGAUUAGAGGGAAUAAGUUGAACGAAGAGUAGAAGUUUAAGUGUUAUUUACUGUAGUUCUUACACACAAUGUUUCUUGCAAAAGAUUCGAUAAAGG
rnacentral:lncRNA from 1 species